rnacentral:rRNA from 1 species
UACGGGGGGAGCAAGCGUUGUUCGGAUUUACUGGGCGUAAAGGGCGCGUAGGCGGCCAGCACAAGUCAGUUGUGAAAUCUCCGAGCUUAACUCGGAAAGGUCAACUGAUACUGUGCGGCUAGAGUGCGGAAGGGGCAACUGGAAUUCUUGGUGUAGCGGUGAAAUGCGCAGAUAUCGGGAGGAACACCAGUAGCGAAGGCGGCUCGCUGGGCCACACCUGACGCUGAGACGCGAAAGCUAGGGGAGCGAACAGG